CACGAGGCCACAACCAGGCACACACGUUCCCUGCCGCGAACUCUCGUCACCAAACCCAUCGCUCCUCCCAUCCCAUCUCUCGCGAGAAAAAUCCCCUACCGCCAUCCAGAUCGGUGAUCACCUCAGGUCUCCUCCACCAUUCGCCCGCCUCCCCCCCAAGGCCGUGGCCUGACUCAUCCUCCCCUUCGCUCACCGCACUAGCGCAGGUGCUCAUGCCUUCCUAGCGCUCAAGCGCCGCCCACGGGUAAAUGAUGGCUUCAGCCGCGUCAACGAGGUCGAGGUGUCCCUGACCCAGCCCUCACCCUCACCUUCAUCGGAGGCCUUGCCCGUCUUGAUAGGGUCGGUUACUCUUUCCCUCCCCUGUCCUGCCCUCCCCUGGAGGCGGCGACACACUCCUCUCAUCUAUCUCCAGGGGAUGCCCUGCCCUCCCCUGGCGUGCUGGGGACCGAUGACCGUGGGGAAUGUGAUCUGGUGGCGCCUGUCGAACAUCGAGAGGUGGCAGAGCCCCGCCACACACUUGUCCCCCCUCCCUCCUCAGGAUCCUCAAUUUCUCAUCUAAAAGGUUUAUGUGGAUGGAACUACCACCAUAUCCACCCAUCCUUUUGGUUUGGUCCUGUCAUGCUGACGCUGUCUUUCAUGAUCCUAUUAUCUGCCUUUUAGUUUUGACUUGUGAUGCUGACGCACGUUUUCUUUCUACAACUGUGAUAUUUCCCUCCUUCGUGGAUGUAUGCAACUGCAUGAAUGGGACAACGAAGCCGCUGUCAUGAAAACUGCAGAGUGAUGACAGAGAUACCGAGGUGUGAAAUAAAAGGCAAAUGUGAAGCUCUUGCAUCAAUCCUCAGACUGAUUCCUGCAAAUUUUCCUACAGAACUACAACAUGAGAUUGGCUUAUUAAUAGUAUGGAGAGGACAAGAUCGAAAAGGACAGUGAUAUAAGGAAAACGGGGAGUGGAAGAGGAAGAAAGUUGGGAUGACAAUUAUAAAUAGAAUAUCGAGUUUGAUGAUGAUGAUAAUUGGAACCAAGAGGAGGAAGCAGGUAAGUUUCAUUUGAUUUUCUGUUCAUAUGGCGGCUAAUGUGACCAGAUAUGUAAGUCUGGAUUGGUUUACUUUCUUGUAGGUUCUACACUUACAGUUUUUAGUACUUGCUUCUUGUUGCCUCUCAGUGUAUCACUAAAUAAUCAGUGUUUUGGGUACUUGCUUCCUGUUGCCUCCCAGUGUAUCACUAAAUAAUCAGUUGACCAGUGUUGGCAAUGGUGCAUCGAUCCUAUUUAGUUCUGGUUCUGUAUGCCUUCCCAGAUACAACUUAUACCCAAAAAUAUUAGCAUACACAUUGAUAUUAGUUGUGGGAGACUCGGCUAUGCCGGCAAUGCCUCCAAUGUGGUGGUGGUCAUGGUGGACGCCACCAUGUGCACUUCAGCUCAUCCGGGUGUAGCCGGAGUGAUUUCCUUCGCAGUUCAAGUCCGGGCAGUUUUUUAUGUGCAUGUAAUCCCGUUUUGCUUGGUCCCUAGCAUUAUUAAUUUUAUUUUUCUACCAAUAACAACCAAGUAAUGUGUGCAUGUCCAUGUCUUAGUGUAAUUCUCGGUUAGUUAGAUCUUACCGAUGCAUGUGCUUCGUGGGAUGCCACGAAUCCAGUGCAAGCAGCGUCGCAGUGGCUGGGUUCAGGUGGACAUGGGAUGGUUCAUCCGAUAUACCUACCCACUAGCUAUUCUCUCUUUUUCAGUAGUAUUUUAAACGACAGUAGUUGACCAUAUAAAUAAGAGGAAAAAACCAGAAAAGGUUGCAAGAUUUUUACGCAAUGGAAAUCAUUUGUUUGCGUGCUCGCGUGUGUGUAGGCGCGCUUGUUCUUUCAUGUCCAAAUACUUGUGUAGUGUUGUGAGAGAGAUCCAGCAACUUCAGUUUUUGUCAUGCAGUUCCUUGAGUCAUAUACAUCUCUUGUGUCAUUUAGAUACAUCAUGUGUACAGGGAGCAAGCGCCACAUUGCUACAUUUAAUGCUUUGGUGUGCUCUCACGCUCCAAGCCAUUGUCCCACACUCCAAACUGCAUAUAUUGACUGUGAUAUGAAAUUGUAAUUGCUCAUAAUUUAAAUUUUUGACACAAGGCAGGAGCCAAGAAUACUAGCUUGCCUGGGAGAAGAUAUGUAAGAGAGUAUAUUAGUUUACCUUUUGAGGGAAGAGUAUAUAAUUUAAGAAUAAGGCACAUCUGUGUGACAUGGAAGCUCUUAACAAUGGUUAGCGUAUGGUUGCCAAGUUAUUUCUAUGGUUCAUCUCAAAUUGAGCGUCUUGAUACUUCAUAUGAAAAUUUGGUUGUAAAAAUUUGUUUGCCACAAGACACACUUUUUUGUAUGAAAGAAAUAUGUAUAAAAUUCCUCGAAGCAUUGUCGAAAAGCAGGUUCGUAUGUCUGAGUGUCUGACAUGCCUUUCUUUUUCAGUUUUUCCUGCCAGAAAGAAAGCAAGUGACUUAUUUAAUCUCAGAGAUAUGUCCCUGUUAUCAGUUUUGAGGAGUCAUUGUUCCAGUCACACAAAAUGUUGACAGAUGUAUCAUUUACAAUGACCGUUCAAUUGUAAUUUCAGUGCCAUGUCAUAAAAUUUGAAUUCACCACUUCAGCCCCUUCCAUAAGGUAGUUCUCUUUCUAUGACCUGAAAUCACAAAAUCCAUUGCCUGUGAUUUAGUCUUCUAUACCAGCAUAGCAAAUUGGCAAUGUAAAUGAUUACCUAUGGCGGUGAAGUUAUGUGUAGCUACAAAAUCUUUCUCUGUCAGUCUCAAGGGGGCAACAAGGUCAUCCAGUUUGUUCAUUCAUUCAAUUCUUUUUGC